rnacentral:rRNA from 1 species
UAGGGAAUACUGGACAAUGGGUGAGAGCCUGAUCCAGCCAUGCCGCGUGCAGGAAGAAGGCGUUAUGCGUUGUAAAUUGCUUUUGCCAGGGGAUAAAAAGACCGUGCGCGGUUAAUUGAAGGUACCUGGUGAAUAAGCCACGGCUAACUACGUGCCAGCAGCCGCGGUAAUACGUAGGUGGCAAGCGUUGUCCGGAUUUAUUGGGUUUAAAGGGUGCGUAGGUGGCCCUGUAAGUCAGUGGUGAAAUAUCUCAGCUUAACUGAGAGGGUGCCAUUGAUACUGCAGGGCUUGAGUACAGAUGAGGUAGGCGGAAUUGACGGUGUAGCGGUGAAAUGCAUAGAUAUCGUCAAGAACACCGAUAGCGAAGGCAGCUUACCAAGCUGUAACUGACACUGAGGCACGAAAGUGUGGGGAUCAAACAGGAUUAGAUACCCACGUAGUCCCUGAGCGGGCUGGCAAGGCGCAU